AGAUUGAACGCUGGCGGCAGGCCUAACACAUGCAAGUCGAGCGGCAGCACGGGUACUUGUACCUGGUGGCGAGCGGCGGACGGGUGAGUAAUGCCUAGGAAUCUGCCUGGUAGUGGGGGAUAACGCUCGGAAACGGACGCUAAUACCGCAUACGUCCUACGGGAGAAAGCAGGGGACCUUCGGGCCUUGCGCUAUCAGAUGAGCCUAGGUCGGAUUAGCUAGUUGGUGAGGUAAUGGCUCACCAAGGCGACGAUCCGUAACUGGUCUGAGAGGAUGAUCAGUCACACUGGAACUGAGACACGGUCCAGACUCCUACGGGAGGCAGCAGUGGGGAAUAUUGGACAAUGGGCGAAAGCCUGAUCCAGCCAUGCCGCGUGUGUGAAGAGGUCUUCGGAUUGUAAAGCACUUUAAGUGGAGGAAGGCAGUUGCCUAAUACGUAUCUGUUUUGACGUUACCGACAGAAUAAGCACCGCUAAC
rnacentral:rRNA from 1 species